GACGAACGCUGGCGGCGUGCUUAACACAUGCAAGUCGAGCGGUAAGGCCCUUUCGGGGGUACACGAGCGGCGAACGGGUGAGUAACACGUGGGUGACCUGCCCUCAGCUCUGGGAUAAGCCUGGGAAACCGGGUCUAAUACUGGAUAUGACUCCAUGACGCAUGUUGUGGGGUGGAAAGCCUUGUGCGGCUGAGGAUGGGCCCGCGGCCUAUCAGCUUGUUGGUGGGGNGAUGGCCUACCAAGGCGACGACGGGUAGCCGGCCUGAGAGGGCGACCGGCCACACUGGGACUGAGACACGGCCCAGACUCCUACGGGAGGCAGCAGUGGGGAAUCUUGCGCAAUGGGCGAAAGCCUGACGCAGCGACGCCGCGUGAGGGAUGACGGCCUGGU
rnacentral:rRNA from 1 species